ACAUUGAGACCAGCAAUAACGCCAGCAUCCUUGGUUGCUUGUCGCUGAGAAUCAUUGAAGUAGGCAGGAACAGUAACAACGGCUUUCUUAAUGGGCCUCCCACAACCUUGAAGGGUCACAACUUAAUAUCUCUCUGAACUGAUUCAUCAUUGAAUCUUCUGCCAAUUAAGCGCUUGGCAUCUACAAAAGAUUUCAUAUUUAGAUGAUUAUAAUACCAGCAGAUUACUGCAUUUUUAUCUCAAAA